rnacentral:rRNA from 1 species
UACGAAGGGUGCAAGCGUUAGUCGGAAUUACUGGGCGUAAAGCGUGCGUAGGCGGUUUUCUAAGUCUGCCGUGAAAGCCCCGGGCUCAACCUGGGAAUGGCGGUGGAUACUGGAAAGCUGGAGUGCGGUAGAGGAGGGUGGAAUUCCCGGUGUAGCGGUGAAAUGCGUAGAGAUCGGGAGGAACAUCAGUGGCGAAGGCGGCCCUCUGGACCAGCACUGACGCUGAGGCACGAAAGCGUGGGGAGCGAACAGG